UACAGCCAUAUUUCGUAGAAACACCGGUCCUCGUACGAUCACUGAAGUUAAGCAACGGAGAGCCUGGUCAGUGCCUAGAUGGGCGACCGCUUGGGAAGACCGUGUGCUGUAAG